AUCUAGCUGAAGAGUCCCAAAUGGGACGCAAUGCGCGUCCUGAAU
rnacentral:hammerhead_ribozyme from 1 species